rnacentral:tRNA from 1 species
GCGGGCGUGGUGGAAUGGUAGACACGCACGUUUGAGGGGCGUGUGCCGAGAGGCGUGAAGGUUCAAGUCCUUUCGCCCGCACCA